rnacentral:ribozyme from 1 species
UUUUUUUUUUUUUUUUUUUUUUUUUUUUUUUUUUUUCCU